rnacentral:rRNA from 1 species
GGAGGGGGUUAGCGUUGUUCGGAAUUACUGGGCGUAAUGCGCGCGUAGGCGGAUUAGAAAGUUGGGGGUGAAAUCCCGGGGCUCAACCUGGGAACUGCCUCCAAAACUGUUAGUCUAGAGUUCGAGAGAGGUGAGUGGAAUUCCGAGUGUAGAGGUGAAAUUCGUAGAUAUUCGGAGGAACACCAGUGGCGAAGGCGGUUCACUGGCUCGAUACUGACGCUGAGGUGCGAAAGUGUGGGGAGCAAACAGGAUUAGAUACCCUGGUAGUCCACACCGUAAACGAUGAAUGCCAGUCGUCGGGUAGUAUACUAUUCGGUGACACACCUAACGGAUUAAGCAUUCCGCCUGGUGAGUUCGGUCGCAAGAUUAAAACUCAGAGGAAUUGACGGGGGCCCGCACAAGCGGUGGAGCAUGUGGUUUAAUUCGAAGCAACGCGCACAACCUUACCAAC